GAGAUACUUCCUGGACAACUGCUAUAAAAACAACAACAAAUACUUUUAUUAAUUCGGGGAGCCUGGUCACCAACUGGAUGCUCAGAGGGGAGAUGGAACCCUGAGCAGCCCAUGUACAUGGAAGAUCUUUAUUGCAGAGAUCUUCAAACCAGGAAACUGAGGCUAAAGAGUUUAGUAUUCUGCCAAGGCCAGCUAAUAGUUACAGAGCAUGGUUCCAAAUUCAGAGCUGUCGGAAGCUUAAGCCCAUGUGAUGAACCACGAAUGUGAUUUUACCUCAUUUAAGCCUUGCAGCAAACUCUGCCAACUAGUGUGCAUUUACUCCUGCCUCUCCAUGCCUGAAGGAAGGAAUGAAGAGGUCUCUGCUGUCCAUCUGAGCCAGUGACUGGGCUGUCUCUACCAGGCCAGAAUUUGGGGCAGGCAAGAUUUUCAGCAUCCCUAAAAUCACACUAAGAAGAUAAACAUGGAAACAGCUUGGAGCUGCCCUACCCAUAGUGAGGUGGUACUGACUGGAAGACAGCUUAAACGAUUUGGAGAAAAGUGGAAUACAUUAAUCUCAGAAAACUCUACCACCUGUAGAAAGAGAGCUAAAAUGGAGACAACCACAGGCAGUCUAAGAUACGCUGAACUACUACAGAAAAUAAUGCAGCAUGAAGGAAUGCUGGAAGGAUCUUCUAAGGGUGUGAGGAUACAGGCGUCAAAGACCCCGUGCUGAGACAGCUCCAUAACAACAUGCAGAUAUUUGGCAAUGAGGGUUCAGAAGAGGACUUGCUGUGGAGAAGAGAGAAAAGAGAUGGGAAGACUCUGUGAAUGAAUAGAGAACACUCUGCAAGCAUCCCAGUUCCUUUGGUUGCCCUGCAGUCUGCAGGUACCAGGAGAAAUCAAAAGCCGCCUGGAAGGGCUUUCUGUCUGUAUGGAGUCAAGGCAGUGUCUUCAAAUCUGUGCUUUCUAAAACAAAGAAAUAACCUUGAUGAAACAAAUUUUCCCCAGAGGAAGGGGAGAGCCCACAGUGAGCUGGUAAAGAAGAUGCCUGGAGCAGGCAGCAUCCUCAAAUGGAAGAGAUGGUGUCUUGCUAUGUUGCCCAAGCUGGUCUUAAAUUCCUGGCAUCAAGUGAUCCUCCUGCCUCAGCCUCCCAAAGUACUGGGAUUACAGGUAUGAGCCAACGUGCUCAGUUCUUCAAGCAGAACUUUCUGACUUCCCUUUUUUUCCUGAAAGCAUAUAAAACUCCCAUGUAAAAGAUGCCCUCUCUGUACCAGGAGGAAAGAAAUAUCUUUAUCACCAGAGACAGAGACAAUUCUCUGUAAACAACCGAAUUUUGUUAAAACAACUCUUAUCUUUCUUUAGCUUUCCUGUAUAUUUUAAUUACUUUUUCACAAUUGCCUCACUUUGUCCAACAUAGUAGGAAAGCAUUGAGAUUUUGCAACUUCUUUGGGCCGUCGUUUCUUUAUAAAGUCUCUCAACUCACAUAAAACUUAAAAUUAAGUAAAUCUGUAUGUUCCUCUCCUGCUAGUCUGUUUUGUGUCAAUCUAAUUCUCAGGCCCUGCUGGGGUUCCUAUGAAGGUAGAGGUAAAGCUUUGUCUGCCCUACACCAUCCAACAUAGUAUCACUAAUUCUAUUUCAACCAGCAGUGUCUGACAUUACUUCUUUCCCACACCCUUCCCAACACUGAUAUUAUCACAUUUUAAAAACUUUGCUAAUCAGAUAGGUUAAAAAGUGGCAUCUCUUUUUUUAACCCAAAUUUGCCUAAUUACUGAUGACACUGAGGAUUUUUUGUAUUUUUCUUGGCCAUUCAACUUUCCUCCUGCCUGUUCAUGUUAUUUUCUCUUGGUCAUUUGUCUUUUGCUUAUGAAAUUCUCAUUUUUCUUAAUGUAUAUCACUAUACUAACUCUUUGAUACAUGGGCUGUAGAUAUCUUCUAAUAGACUAUUAUUCAUCUUUAUGUGAAUGUUUAUCAUACAGAGGUUUUAAAUUUCAAUGUGGUUACCUGCGCCCUGGAUCUGUUCUCUUCUCACUUCCUCAAGGACUUUUUUACUCCGUGGAUAAUGCCCCUACCCUUCCAGCUUCAACCUCACCCUAAGGAAUCCUUGCAAUUGUUGAGAAACAUACUCUAGUAUGUCCCACGUUUUACAACUUCUUCUUGACCCGUCUCUUUCUCCAAUUGCUGGCCUCUUUUUGCUUUGUUUCAUAGCAACAUUUCUCAAAAGACAGUUUUUUUCAUUCCCUCCACUUCCUCACCACCCCUCCCGUCAUCAUCCUCUGUAGUCUGGCUCUAUGACCACCUCUCUGCUGGAAUUGUUCUUGUUAAGAUCACCAGUCACCUUCAUGGUGCUAGUUGGAGUCACAUCUCUGUUCUCACGUGAUUUAACCUUUUGGCAGCAUUCACCGUGACUGACCAUUUCUCCCUUCAUGAAACAUUUUUUUUUAGUGUUGGCUUCAGUAAGUGAGCUCCCUGUUUUCUUCCUAACUGCCUCAGCACUUCUCAGUACCCUCUGCUGACUCUUCCUCCACCACCAACUCCCUGAAUGUUGGGGUGUCUCCCGGCACAGCCCUAGACUUUCCUCAGUAGCUUCUCAUCAGGUGAACUAACUCCUGUGCCAUUAAAUAUCUUCCAUGUGUUGAUGACCCCCAAAUGCACAGCUCUACCCUUGACCAAUUCCUUGAACUUUAGACUCGUACAUCCAAUUCCCUACUGGACACCUCCCCUUGGUUAUUUCAUACUUAAUGGGUCCAAAAUGGUUCUUUUUGAUUUUCACUGCCUCCCCAAAAAAAACUUUUCCCACCCUGUUUUCCCCUAUCUUGCCAAAAACCCUGUUGCUCAAACCAAAAAACUUAGGAAUCACCCUGAUUUCUCCCUUGACUUCACUUUCUACACCCAGUCCAUCAGCAAGUCCCAAUGUUUCCAUUUCCAAAAUGUUCUCAGCAUCCACCUAUUUUCAUCCGUCUUUGCAACCAUUACCCUAUUCCUUGCACUGACAUCUCUUCCCAGGACUAUAGCUGUAGCCUCCUAAAUGGUCUCCUGCUCCCUUCCUGCUUCCGUCCAGCUCAUUCUCCUAUUAACAUUCUUUUCAGCAUUUAUCCCCAUCUUAAGUUACUGUAAUGACUUAUUUCUUUAUGUCGUUAUUUUCUGUUUCCUCUACUAUUUUGCCAUCUCCGUGAGGGUAGGGACCAGAUAUGUUGUAUCUCUCACCACAUCCCAACUUCUGGCACAUUGAAGAGUCUCAGUAAAUACAUUUGGAUUAAAUAAAUGAGCAAGUGAAUGCAUGAUUUUAAAUAUUAGGUAAUAUUCAUAAUUUGCUCAGAAAAUUCUCCUGAGAUUGGCCACUUCCCAGACUGGUGAAACAGGAGAAAAGGACCUUGUAUAUCUCAAUGACUCCUGAAAAGAGUGUAAAAACAACAUGUUUGGGAACAUACAGUGGAGCAGGAGUUACAAGCUCAAAUGUCUCUGGGUUCUGGCAGGUAACAGAAAUGGGGAGGUUACCAUGUGUAAGCCACAAUGAGUGGUAGCGACCAUCACAAUCUGGAGACCCUCCCAGCUCCAGCUAAUGCAGACUCAUCAGCUCCAGCCAGAUGUGGCCAAGCAGCCAAGGCCCCAAGGCCCCAUUCCAGAAAUGACCUGCUGCCUCGCUGCAGGGAGAACAGUCAGCAAGUAGCCUCCAGCUGGGGACAGCAUCAGCUGCAGAGAGCCACCUCACUCAAGUUUGUGCCCUUCCCAAGAUGGGCCAAUGUGCAGGCGUUGGCCUCAAGGGCACUUCCUAACAUCCUGUAUAAUGACAUCUUGGUCUGCCUCCUGGGAACAUAGUCUGCCUCAGAUCCUGUGGGAACACCCCUCCAGGCAUGAGCACCUCCUUGUGCUGGGUGUUGAGAGAUGCACAUUUUUCAAACAACAUGGCCCCUGAACACAAACUACUUCCUCUGUAGUGCAUCCAAAUAAAUGGUGAACUAUUGCACUGAUGGAGAAAAAUCCAUUGUUCUGUUGUAUUUAUUAGCAAACGAUAUGUAUGUUUCUAAUAUGUCACAUAAAUCCUGUGUCCUUGUGUAGCUGAUGGCGACACCCCUCUCUAGAUCCCCUUUACUCUGCCAGAGCAUCCCUCCCAGCUGCUGUGACUGUUGGCUGCUAACUGCUCACAGCACACCCUUCUUUUGAGAAUUGCCCUCAUCUGAUUGGAGCCACCUCCUCCAGGAAUGCCAAAGAGGCCCAUAUCCUGGAUAGGCCCAUAUCCCAUGCCUGAUUGUUAGGAUAAAAAAGGCUGCCCCUUAGCCUCUUGGGGGUACAAAUCCAUGGUGCUUUGCUUGCCCCAGGUCUCCUUGUGGGAUCUGGCUGAGGCUAGACUACAGCUGUUCCGCUGACUGAACUCACACAUUUGCUGAAUCUGAUCCCCUGCCCUGCCCUGCUUCCUCCAUUACCAUGCAGGUUUCACCUGAGUGUACUUUUUCAAUUACUUGCAUGAGAAUUACUUGCAUCCUUUCAAUUACUUACAUCCUUAUCUCAGGUUCUGCGUUUAGGGAACCUAACCAAAGAUCAUACUUUAUGGGUGAUUUGAGGAACAUUUAAGGAUAAUUUUGACUCUACAUAAUUUUAGUCUUAUCUAUUUAUUUCAUGAGAUAGGAUGUCAUUGCUUUCCUCUGUGUGUUCCCAGUGCCUAGCACAGUUCUGAGACAUCAUAAGCUCUCAGUUUAACUUUGUUUGAAUAAGUGAAUGAAUGAAUGAAUGAAUGCACCACACUUGUCAGUGUACCCUUGCUUUAACAACCAGUAGGCAAUACUAUUUAGGGCUCAGUCUUACACUCAGGUUUUCUGAGCCUGAACUGGCACUAGGGCUAGCAAAGACUUUUAUGGGCUUAUUUUUCCCCAAAAGCAGAGAACUGAUAAAAUCACACGACCUUGAAACUAAGCAUCUCUUGUUAUUUGUCUUUAACUCCUCCUGUCCUUUAAAGCAUUCUUUCUAAGAGUAGUGAGGACUAAGCUCUGAUUUUUUUUAAUCUUGCCCAACUCCUAUCUAAGGGGUCUGGGGAGUCAUGCCCUACAAACCAUAAAUUCUCAUCAGAUGGGUUUUAUUUAACCCUGUAUAUCGUGACUUACUUUGCAAUCUGACUCUGGCAUAACAAGGAAGAAAAUAAAAAUAUUUUACCCCAAAACAUUUUUCUGCCAUAUUUUGAAAUGGCCCUGCAAAGCCACCCCUUGUGGGAAAAAUCCACAUUCUAUAGAGAAUCCCCUUUCCCCUUCCUUUUUUUUCCUUCCUUCCUUUCCAGAUCCAGGUGAUAGUCAACUAAGAGCUAGGUGCCCUUUUAGGUCAGAUAAGAAACAUUUUACAACCUGCUCUCCCUGAAGUCGGCUGAGAGCUUCCUCUGCACAACAAAACUUGGUCUCCACAAUCCUUUACCUUAACCUGAACAUUUAUUUUCUAUUGAUCCUAGGUCUUCAGAUAAACGCAACCAAUUGUCUACCAGAAAAUAUUUAAAUUUACCUAUAGCCUGG
rnacentral:lncRNA from 1 species